rnacentral:rRNA from 1 species
UACGUAGGGUGCAAGCGUUGUCCGGAAUUAUUUGGGCGUAAAGAGCUCGUAGGCGGUUUGUUGCGUCGGCUGUGAAAUCCCGAGGCUCAACCUCGGGUCUGCAGUCGAUACGAGCAAACUAGAGUGUUGCAGGGGAGACUGGAAUUCCUGGUGUAGCGGUGAAAUGACGCAGAUAUCAGGAGGAACACCGGUGGCGAAGGCGGCGUCCUGGACCAACACUGACACUGAUGAGCGAAAGCCAGGGGAGCAAACGGG